AUUCCAGCUCCAAUAGCGUAUAUUAAAGUUGUUGUGGUUAAAAAGCUCGUAGUUGGAUCUCGGCGGUCUGAGGGCGGUUCGCUUCAGAGCGCUACUGCCCUAUAGACCGUAGUUUUGCCAGAGGUCUCAGGGUGCUCUUAACCGAGUGUCUUGCGAUGCUGGCAGGUUUACUUUGAAAAAAUUAGAGUGCUCAAAGCAGGCUUUUACGCCUGAAUAUUCGUGCAUGGAAUAAUAGAAUAGGAAGUCGUUUCUAUUUUGUUGGUUUUCGGAAAUCGACUUAAUGAUUAAUAGGGACAGUCGGGGGCAUUUGUAUUCAAACGACAGAGGUGAAAUUCUUGGAUUUGUUAAAGACGGACUACUGCGAAAGCAUCUGCCAAGGAUGUUUUCAUUA
rnacentral:rRNA from 1 species